ensembl:lncRNA
CGAGACGGAAGCGCGGCAGGACGGGAGCGGUGCUGAGGACAGCGGCGCCGGAGGGGUGCGGGAGAACGGCUCCAUGCCGGGGAGAGGAACCGAGCGCGGCCCGAAUCCCCCCGCCGUCCCCUCCGCUCCCCUCUGCUCCGCUCGGCCGUGGGAUGCGGGGAUUUGGGACGGCUGAAGGACUCGGGGCCCCCACCGCCGCAGCGCUGCUGCCCGCAUCCGGGCCGGGCCCCCCCGAGCCUCCAGCGCUGCUCCCGGUGCCCCCCGGGGCUGAGGUGGUCUGUGGGUGUAGGGGCAGUGGGGGAGAUGUGGUGGGGAUGUGGGAGCUGAGGGGGCUGUAGGGUAAUGUGGGGCCGUGGGGGGCUGUAGGGGUGGCUCUUGGGGGCUGUGGGACUGUGGGGGGUUACAGGAGGUUUUGGUUCAGCAUCUCCUGAUGUGUCACACACAUUUCCAGAGGUCGCUCACUGAAAGUGCUGAAUUAAGAUGGUGAAUUUUGCUGGACAGAGCAGAGCGCUUGUCUAAUGAAACCUCUGAAGUGCCAGGUUUGUUCUGCAGGCCCCGAUGAUGACCCAGGCAUGAAAGAGCCCAGAGCUCGUCGCUGGGGAGAGGCUGCGUAUGGCGUUGUGAAGGGAGAGGUGGAGGAGGGCUUUGAGCAGCGCUGUGCAGGAAUGAAUGGCUGGCAGGAGCCGGGCAGCGGUACUGCAGCUCGUCUGGCAGCUUUGCAGCUCAGUUGGGAAGUAGAAGAUGUGGCUGUGAAAGAAGAAGUCAGUUGCUGGGACGUCCCCCUGUUCUUCCCCUAGCUGUCCCUAUGCCUCAGCCUGGAUUCUUCUUGCAUUCCUGUAGGAUUCCCUUCCAUCCUCCUGGUUGUCCCUUGCUUUCCCCAAGGUUGCUCUUUCCUUUCCCAUGACAGCCCACCCAUCAUUCCCUCAAAGCCCCAAUAUCCACCCCAGUGUUUCCCCAGUAAGACUCCUAGAGACGCCCUGUAGCACCCCACAGAGCCCCAUACACCCUCUAGGACCUCCUCAGACCCGGUACGCCUCUCCCGUAGCUGGCCCAUACGCACACGGAGCUCCACAGUCCCCAGCUUCACCCCAUGUAACCUACUGGCCUCCUUCAAGACCCCCGUGUUUCCUCUAUUUCCUCCUUCAGACCUCCUUUCCCACCUCCAAGACCCCAACCCCGGGAUCUCACCGAUUCCCACAGUCCCUGACAGGACCCCUGUCACCAUCCCAGGAACCCCAUAGCCCACCUGAGGGCCCUCCUCAACCCCAUCCCCAUCAAGCUCUUGUACAGCCAUAGGGUGCUGGGGCAGGGGUGGCUGCUGCAGGAGAGGAAUGCGGGGCUGGAGCAGGUGUAGGGCACAGCUGUGGGUGAAAGGGAUGUGAGGGGCACUGUGGGUCCAGGAACGUAGGGGUUGUGGGGGCACGUGGGGAGCGGUUUGGGGUGAGAAUGGAGGAUGUGCGGUGGUGUUGGAGUGCACUGGUUGAUUUCUUCCUGGGAGGGGAUUGGGGUUCCCCUUGGCCCAAAGGUGGAGCCCUGAUUCAUAACCCCACGUGAGCCCAGAACCCCAUAUAACUCUGCAUGAGCCCAAGGCUCCACAUGACCCAUAACCGUGUGAGCACCGUAAGCCCAUAUGAGGCUGAGGGCAGUGGUGGGUCUGUUACUGG